rnacentral:rRNA from 1 species
GACGAACGCUGGCGGCGUGCCUAAUACAUGCAAGUAGAACGCAGUUGCGAACGGGUGAGUAACGCGUAGGUAACUGCCUCAUAGCGGGGGAUAAAUAUUGGAAACGAUAGCUAAUACCGCAUCCUGUGAGAUGGACCUGCGUUGUAUUAGGUAGUUGGUGAGGUAAAGGCUCACCAAGGCGACGAUACAUAGCCGACCUGAGAGGGUGUGCGGCCACACGGGGAUUGAGACACGGCCCAGACUCCUACGGUAGGCAGCAGUAGGGAAUCUUCGGCAAUGGACGGAAGUCUUACCGAGCAACGCCGCGUGAGUGAAGAAGGUUUUCGGAUCGUAAAGCUCUGUUGUUAGAGAAGCGUUAACUAACCAGAAAGGGACGGCUAACUACGUGCCAGCAGCCGCGGUAAUUC